UUGGUCAUAUCACGUUGAAACACCGGUUUUCGUGCGAUAACCGAAGUUAAGCAACGCCUGGCCUGGUCAGUACCUAGAUAGGUGACCGCUUAGGAAAAUCAGGUGCUGUAA